GUGGUGCAAAUGGUUAACACACUUGGCUGCUAACCAAAAGGUUGGUGGUUUGAGUUCACCC
rnacentral:tRNA from 1 species